rnacentral:rRNA from 1 species
GGCUACACAUGCAGUCGAGGGGUAACAGAUCUUCGGAUGCUGACGACCGGCGAACGGGUGAGUAACACGUAUGCAACUUACCCAUAACUCGGGAAUAGCCCAAAGAAAUUUGGAUUAAUACCCAAUAAUACAGGCGUACCGCAUGGUAUUCUUCGUUAAAGAAUAAUCGGUUAUGGAUAGGCAUGCGUUCUAUUAGGUAGUUGGUGAGGUAACGGCUCACCAAGCCGACGAUGGAUAGGGGAACUGAGAGGUUGUCCCCCCACACUGGUACUGAGACACGGACCAAACUCUUACGGGAGGCAGCAGUGAGGAAUAUUGGUCAAUGGACGAAAGUCUGAACCAGCCAAAUCGCGUGAAGGAAGAAGGUAUUAUGUAUCGUAAACUUCUUUUGUAAGAGAGUAAAGUGCACUACGUGUAGUGUAUUGCAAGUACCUUACGAAUAAGCAUCGGCUAAUUCCGUGCCAGCAGCCGCGGUAAUACGGAAGAUGCAAGUGUUAUCCGGAUUUAUUGGGUUUAAAGGGUGCGUAGGUGGCCUAAUAAGUCAGUGGUGAAAUCUCUUUGCUUAACAAGGAAAUUGCCAUUGAAACUGUUAGACUUGAGAAUGGACGAGGUAGGCGGAAUUCGUAGUGUAGCGGUGAAAUGCAUAGAUAUUACGAAGAACUCCAAUAGUGUAGACUGCUUACCAGACCAUAUCUGACACUAAGGCACGAAAGUGUGGGUAUCAAACAGGAUUAGAUACCCUGGUAGUCCACACAGUAAACGAUGAAUACUAACUGUUUGCGAUAUACAGCAAGUGGUCGAGCGAAAGCGUUAAGUAUUCCACCUGGGAAGUAUGCCGGCAACGGUGAAACUCAAAGGAAUUGACGGGGGCCCGCACAGCGAGGACAUGUGGUUAUUCGAUAUACGCGAGACUUACCCGGGCUCGACGAUAU